UGGGGAAUUGUUCGCAAUGGGCGCAAGCCUGACGACGCAACGCCGCGUGGAGGACGAAGAUCUUCGGAUCGUAAACUCCUGUCGUGCGGGACGAAGGUCCUGUGGGAGAACAUCCCAUGGGAGUGACGGUACCGCGAGAGGAAGCCCCGGCUAACUCCGUGCCAGCAGCCGCGGUAAUACGGGGGGGGCGAGCGUUGUUCGGAAUUACUGGGCGUAAAGGGCUCGUAGGCGGCCUCUUAAGUCGGACGUGAAAUCCCCCGGCUCAACCUGGGAACUGCGUCUGAUACUGGGGGGCUGGAAUGCGGGAGAGGGAUGCGGAAUUCCAGGUGUAGCGGUGAAAUGCGUAGAUAUCUGGAGGAACACCGGUGGCGAAGGCGGCAUCCUGGACCGUGAUUGACGCUGAGGAGCGAAAGCCAGGGGAGCAAACGGG
rnacentral:rRNA from 1 species